rnacentral:lncRNA from 1 species
CCGCCCGCCUCGGCCUCCCAAUAUAUUUUUAACUUCAUUCAUUGAACCCUUCAGUCCCAGUAUUUCUGUUUGGUUCUUUCUUUAUGAUAUCUAUCUCUGUUGAAUUUCUUACUCAGAUCAUAAGUUGUUUUUCUGAUUUCUCUGUAUUAUUAUUUAUUUCUAGUUUUAUUCCAUUGUAGUCUGAAAAGGUACUUGAUAUUAUCUUAAUUUUAAAAUUUGUUGAGAUUUAUUUUGUGGCCAAACAUAUGGCCUAUCCUGGAGAAUGUUUCAUGUGCUGACAAGAAAAUGUAUUCUGCAGUUUUUGUUCUAUGUUCUCUUGUAUCGCACUGAACUUGUUUAAUAACAUUAUUUAAAAUUCUUUUUUGGGCAUUUCAUGUAUUGCUUUUUCAUUCAAACCUGUUCCUAGAGAAUUACUGUGUUCCUUCAGAGGCAUUCUGUUUCCUUGCUUUUUCAUGUUUCUUAUAUCCUUACACUCAUAUUUGUGCAUCUGGUGUAACUGUCUCUUCUUUCAAUUUUAUGGAUUGGCUUUCAUAGGAAAAGACUUUUCCUGAUAGAUGUAUCUAUUGUAUUGGUUGGGUAGGAUGCUUUGGCUUUUAUUUUGGGUGGGGGCAGUAGUUUAGUUUCCAUAUUUCUUCAGCUAUAAUCAGUGUCAGUGGUAUCUGUGAGUUCCUCAGUGGAUUGGCUGUGGUUGUUUGGGGAGGCUGUGGCGAGGCUUUGCUGGGGAUGGGGAUGCCAGGUGGGGCAGUCUUUGGGCCCCAGUGGUGGUAGUUGUGGGUCAAGCCUGCUGAUCUUCCUCUCCCACCCCCGCUCCCCAGCAGUGUGCAUGACCUGCUCAGUGGGUGGAGUGGAUUGAUCACCAGGCCCCAAUGUACAUGGCAACUGGCAGGGAUGACACUGGGCAGUAUAGACCUAUCCUCAGCUCUCUCAAGGGUACACACAGGCACAGGCUGUGGUGGGUUGAACAGGUUGAUCCCCAGGCCCUCAGAUGGUAUGUCUGGGUACCAGCAGCAGUGGCAGAGUAGGGGGCAGGCCUGUCAUCAGAACCCACGAUGGUGUGUGCAGGCACUAGAAGUGGAAGGUGGGAUAGGCUGAUCCCAUGGUCACCUUAACAACAUGCAUUAGUGUGGGCAGAGGUGGUGGGCAGGUGGCCUACCUGAUGGUGCAUGCACUUGCCAGCUGUGGUGGGCAGGGCAGGUUGAUCCUCAGGUCCCCUUUAUGGCAUGCUUGGGUGCCGGUGGUGGUGAUAGGUGCAGCAGACCUGUUUUCAGUUUCCAGGAUGGUGCCUGGCAAACCAGUUUCCAGGUCCCUUGAAGGUAUCUGCAGGUGCACAGUGGCCCUGCUGCUGGAAGUUGGGGGAUGGGGUUGCUGUCAAUGGCGUGGCCCAACCCAGGCAGCUCUCAGGCUUUGGGGAGCAUGAAUUCCAGUUCCCUUUGUUCUGGUGACUGCCUCCCCAGUGCACAGUACCACUGAUUCCCUGCAGCAUAGAAUACUGUAUGAGUCAGAGUCCUGGGAAUCUGGCUAUACUGCUGGGUCCAGCCAGUGUUGUGAUGCUGCAGCCUUCUGGAUAGAUGUCAGUCAGGGGAUGUCAGAGGGAUGUGGAGAUACAGAGGCUGUUGAGUCCCGGGGAAGGAUGUAGUCUGGUGGAGGCUGGCCUCUCAAAAUAAUGCCAUGCUGCAGGUGUCUUGAUCUUGGGGUGUGUGGGGGACCCAGAGUGAAGUUCUUCUCUGGACUAAUGGCAUUGGAGGACUUGAGGAUGCUCCUUAGACUAGUCUCAGGGCCCACAAGGGCUGAGGGGCUCUCCUGUGGCUAGGACUGUAAGAGUCAGUGUGGCAAUGUAGACUGCUGAAGAUCUCUUGCUUACCUUCUCUCUGCACUGGGGGGUUUCUCCUGGCUCCGAGCUGAUUGCAGCUGGACCAGCUGCUUUGCUUCCCUCUCCUUCCAAGCCUCAGAUGUUCCCUGUCACUUCUCUGAUGAAUUCCAUUGUUCUCUUAGAAGCUCCACUUGUUAUGUGAUUGUUCAGUUUUGGUCCUUCUUUGUGCAGAAGUGCCAGGUGUCGCUAGUCAGCUAUCUUGAAACCCUUCUCUCUGGAUGUACAAAAUACUGUUUACACUUCGAGGUUUGUUCUGGGAUGCUCGCAGAUCUCAUCCCAUAUAAGUAGUGAGGGAAAAAAGAGGUGGUUGCCUAAGGUUUCUCCUUCUAUCUCUGAUUGGCUCAACAUCCACUGGGCAACACACAUCAACCUUUCAAGACAAGAACGGUAGGUGAUGUGUGGAGUGGUGAUGGUGUAUGUGAAAACCCUUGGCUUCCUUUACAUGAUCGUAGUCUGAAAGAUGGAGACUACAUGGAGAAUGUCUCAAGAAAAUUCCUCCUUUCACACUCCUCUGACGAUACCACAGACCGACUCCUCACAGAUGAGCAAAAGCUUGGGUGGGAGCUUAUUUCUUCUCCCACUGUGCUUCAACUUCUCAAGGAAUUGUAGAAUGAGAGAGAGCAGAGGAUUUUUAAUAUUUGCUGAUUAUCCACUAUGUGCAAGCUUCGUAUAAACAAUAGGUAGUAUAAUCUCCAUUUUAUAGUUGAGGAAACUGAGACUGGAGAUUAAAUCAUUUGCUGGAAGACACAAAGCCAGUAAUUAGUAGACUCAGGACUUGAGCAAGACUGUCCAUCUUCAGAGCCCACAGUCUUUCCAUGACACCAGCAAUGCACAGUUAGGUCCACAGGGACUCUCUCACAUCUACUCUGUGCUCUCAUUCUUGGCAUCCAAAGAAUGUUAGGCACUGAGAACCGCUAUGGACUGAAUGUCUGUGUCCCCCCAAAUGUCAUAUGUUGAAACUGAAUCCCCACUCCGAUGGUGUUUGAAGGUGGGCCCUUUGGGAAAUGAAGUCAUGAGGGGGAGGGAGCCCUCAUGAAAGGGAUUAGUGGCCCCAGAGAGAGAACCCCUCACCCUUUCUGCCAAGUGACUGUGCAGCAAGAAGACAGCCAUCUAUGAACCACGAAGCAGACACUCACCAGACACCGAACCUACUGCAUUCCUGACCUUAGACUUCCGAACAGCCUCCAGAACUCUAAGAAAUAAAUUUCCUUUGUUUAUAAACCACCCAGCCUAUGGUAUUUUGUUAUAGCAGCCUGAACACAUUGUGACAAGAAUUCAAGCUACUAAGGAUCACUUUAGCUGAGAAAUGCUUGGGCAAUUGGGUAGAAAGGCUGGCAUAGUGCAAGUCAGAAAACUUCAGAGUCAAAAUGGAGGGAGGGACUCCUCUCCCCUCCUACAGAGUGACAGAAAGGAGGGAAGAGUUCUGCUUUAUGACAAAGCAUUUUAAAUAGCACGCAGAUCCUCUAGAAAAGGAUGCAGAGCCACAAUGUGGGCAGAGGCUCGGGGACUGAGGGGGGAAACCAGAAGCUGAGUUUCUUUCCUCUAGUGCCAGAGAAAUUUUCCAAGGUGGGAUUGGGAUUGUGGUGAAUGACCUUGGAUUGAGAUCCAGGGGCUGUGGGAAAGCCAUAGGAGCCCCAGACUAUGAACAUCUUAUUUUUUUAAUUUAAUUUUUUAAAAAAGAGAUGGGAUGUCACUAUGUUGCCCAGGCUGGUCUCAAACUCUUGGGUUCAAGUGAUCCUCCUGCCUCAGCCUCCCAAAGUGCUGAGAUUACAAGUGUGAGCCACUGUGCCUGGCCCAACUAUGAACAUUUUAAUUGAUAAAUUAGAAAAUGUUCAAAACACUUAAAAUUGGGUAGUGAUGCCAACAGCCCACCUCACCCAUGCCAGGAGCCUUACCAUGUUAAGCAGUGGUCCCAGCCUUUUUGGCACCAGGGACUGGUUUUGUAGAAGACAAUUUUUCCACGGACCAGGGGGUGGUGGGGAUGAUUUCAGAAUGAAACUUCCACCUCAGAUCAUUAGGCAUUAGAUUCUCAUAAGGAGCAUACAACCUAGACCUCUCUCCUGCACAGUUCACAAUAGGGCUCACAUUCCUAUGGGAAUCUAAUGCCACUGCUGAUCAGACAGGAGACAGAGCUCAGGUGGUAACGCUUGCUUGCCACUCACCACCUGCUGUAUGACCCAGCUCCUAACAGGCCACAGAGCAGUACUGGUCUGCAGCCUGAGGGUUGAGAACCCCUGACGUAAAGCACCCCCUUUGUGAGAAAACAAGCUCUGGGCCUUUAAUUCCUGCAGCCAGCUGCUCUGUGCACAUGGGGUGAGGGGCAGGAGGGAGUCAGGCAGGAGACCUCUGGUCCCUGGCACAGCUAUUCUCGCAACAGCCAUUGGUCAAUCUCCCCGGUCCCUACCACAGCCCCUCUGCUCUCUGUACCUGCCGGCCUCAAUGCGGAGCCUCUCUGAGAAACAGCUCCUCCCUCGCCAGCCACCUUCUGUGUACAGUUCAACUUCUAUCUCCUCAGAUCUCCUUCCCCAUCAGUCAACCCACCUCCCUUCUCCUAUUUCAAAAAUUACUCAACAUUUCUGUUCUUGCACUUUUUUGGGCUGUUACAGAUUUUUUGAAGUUCAAUGACAUUUGGGAAGGACAGAUAAAAGUGAGCAUUCAAUUUGCAUCUCAAGUCAUGACAUUUGCCUUGUAAAUGACGUCUGCUUCCAUUUUACUGGAGGAAGCUGGCCAGGUGGGGUCUCCUUUCCCAUAGGUGGCUGUGAUGUCAGGUGAGCUGCUCAGCCUCUUCUGGCUUACUUUCCGUUCACAUGACGAGGGUCGUGAAUGAGAUUAGUAUCCAUCAAACCUGUUCCUGUAAUACACCCCUUCUAUCAGGUAAAACUGAUGGCAGGAUUCCAGUAUAUAAAACAAGCUAAACUGGUAUUUUCUUUUUCAGAAUACGUACUGAAGUGCUGAAGAGUAACUAAAACAUUUUUUAACAGGAGAAAAGGCCCUGGCUGGGGGCAGUGGCUCACGCCUGUAAUCCCAGAACUUUGGGAGGCCGAGGCGGGCGGAUCACGAGGUCAAGAGAUCAAGACCAUCCUGGCUAACGUAGUGAAACUCAUCUCUACUAAAAAUACAAAAAUUAGCUGAGUGUGGUGGCAUGUGCCUGUAGUCCCAGCUAGUCAGGAGGCUGAGGCAGGAGAAUCCCUUGAACCCGGGAGGAGGAGGUGGAAGUGAGCUGAGAUUGCACCACUGCACUCCAGCCUGGCGACAGAGCAAGACUUCGUCUCAGAAAAAAAAAAAAAAAAAGAAAAAAAAAGAAAGAAAGAAAGAAAAGAGAGGCCCUGAGGAGGAGAGGAGAACAUGAUGGGGCCUUUGGAGCCCACAGCUCCCUCUUCCCCUCUAAGUGGCCCAUGGUGGCAGUGCUGGCUGCCCCAAGAGGAGGUAGGCAAAUUGCAGAGGCACCAAGGAGCUUCCAAGGAAAGGCUGAGGCCUGGCCCUUCCCAGCGGAGGUGCAACGGUCUGGAAACUCAUGAGAUGGAUCAACAGUCAUGGUUACUGGUGGCAGACACACCUCGGAGGGACCUGAAGGUUUGUCUGGAUGAGCGACUGGAUUGCAACUAUGGGAUGGGCUAGAGGAUGGGCCCAGCAGGUGGCCCAGGAUGGAACCCCUCUGGAAGUGCCUGGGCGGGGCCGCGUCAGCUGCAGCUGCAGGUAAGCAUGCAUGGGACCCCACAGGAGUGGCUGUCAAUGACACCAAUGUGGAGAUAGGUCUUUGGCCUAAGGGAGGAGUGAAGCCCCAGGGUACCACGGGACAGGAGGGAAGAUAAUGUUUUCCUGCAAAAUGGGCAGGUCAGAUCUCAGUGUUCGAAGGAUUUGACUAGAACUGUGCUUAGGAUCAAUGAAAAGGGAGAGGCAGGUCACAGUAUUUGAGGAUAAACUAAUUUUUACCUUAUUCUGGGAUCAAAGUGACUAUCAAAGCUUUAAAAUACAGCAUAUAAAGUGUCAGAAAAGGUACACUAGUUUUUUCUUUUAAAGUACACUAGUUUUUAUAGUAUAAAUAGUUGUAGAAUCUAGGUAGUGGGUUUAUGAGUGUUCACGGUAAUUUUUUUUCAGCUUUUCUGUAUGCUUUAAAUUUUUCAGGACAAAAUGCCUAGAAGUGGUCAAAUAACAUUUUAUUUUGUAGUCGAGCAUUUGAGGAACCCUUGGACGAUUGUCGGGAAGCCUUCGGGUUAAUGAAGCAUGAAAACUAUUGGGCCUCUCCUGAGCCCUUUGAGCUCAAAAAUCUCUAACUUCCUAGGAGGCUCCUCAGGCUCAGCCCAGGCCUGAAGCUGAUGUAUUUGAGAAGCUGGUGUUUUAGAUGACUGUCAUCUAAAACCUCAAAGCCUCAAAAGCUGUUUACAUCAGUGGGGUUGCACCUGUACUCUGAGUUAGUUUUAUCACAAAAAUGGGUCAUUUGCAGCUGCCUUUUAAAGGUGAAAACAGAUGCAAAAUAUAUUAAAAAAAUCAAACAGACUUUCAAAAACCACACACAGUGCCAAGUAGUCAGUGGAUUUGUCGGCGCCCUGCCUGAGAACAGCACUUUGAUAAAAGGCCCAGCUGCAAGGGUGCAGAAUAACAGAGUUGGGAGCACUGCUGCCCUUUCUUUGUUCUGCCUUUCAGGGCAGCUGUCCUCAAAUAUGGGGUGGGCAGAAGUGGUGUGCUUACUGCCAGCACUGCCUGCUACAAGGAAAAGAACUGUAUGGCCUACUAAUUUGGGGGAGUGCUGGAUUAAACAGCAUUAAGAUGCUUCUCAGACUGUUCAAUAUACUUGUGUGCACUGCCCGUCUCCCAGGGAUGGACACAGUUGUGAUCCCCAAAUGCUCUACAGACUUUUAGGGGAGGGACCAUGCUCUAGGACCCAUGCUUUAAGAAGGCAAAAAUAAACCAAGCACUGUGGCUCAUGCCUGUAAUCCCACGGCUUUGGGAAGUGGGAGGAUCGCUUGAGCCUAGAGGUUUGAGGCUGCAGUGAGCUAUGAUUGAACCACUGCAUGCCAGGCUGGGUGACAGAACAAGACCCUGUCUCUAAAAAAACAAAAAGGAAGCAAAAUAGAAAAUGCUUCUUUGCAAACAUUAUGUCAAUUAGUGAUACAUCUAAAAUACAUCUUGAGAGGCUGGGGUAGGAGAAUUGCUUGAGGCCAAUGGUUUGAGACCAGCCUGGGAAACGCAGUGAGACCCCAUCUCUAAAACACAAAAUAAAAUAAAAAAUAAAUAAUUAAAAUGCAGUUUAACUGUAGCAGCUACACCCUUCAGCAGCAUCUGUGAGAGAAGUGUUAUUUCUGACCAAGCAGAGCUGUGUUUUAAGAUGAAGGCUCCCCGACCUGUGAAAAACAGCCCUAGCUCAAGGUUAACUUACAGUAUCAACAGUACAUUACUUCAGCGAUGCUUCUGUCUUCCUACCCACUGGGGACAAUUGUCUCCAUAGCUUGUAUCUUACAUUCUCAAAUAACAUCUAGUUUCUGGUUCCCCUGAGACCAGGUGCAUCCUCCACCCACCUCACCCCACUGAACCAAGGAUCUGCUGUACACCCUUCCUCAUUAGAAACUUCAUCUCCACCCUCUUUCCCACUCCCCCAACAAAACAAUCAAAGCACAUGCCCAAAUUUAUUUUUAUUUUGCACACAUAGGAAACAGGAUCCUAUCAAAAGAGAACAAAAAAGAGAAACGAGCCAAUUGUUGCAGAGGAAAAGCAUGCACAGAUCUGCUUCAAGUUUA